rnacentral:rRNA from 1 species
UUUAACGCGAAGGAAACUUACCUGGUCUUGACAUCCACAGAACUUUUCAGAGAUGCUAAGGUGCCUUCGGGAACUGUGAGACAGGUGCUGCAUGGCUGUCGUCAGCUCGUGUUGUGAAAUGUUGGGUUAAGUCCCGCAACGAGCGCAACCCUUAUCCUUUGUUGCCAGCGGUCCGGCCGGGAACUCAAAGGAGACUGCCAGUGAUAAACUGGAGGAAGGUGGGGAUGACGUCAAGUCAUCAUGGCCCUUACGACCAGGGCUACACACGUGCUACAAUGGCGCAUACAAAGAGAAGCGACCUCGCGAGAGCAAGCGGACCUCAUAAAGUGUGUCGUAGUCCGGAUUGGAGUCUGCAACUCGACUCCAUGAAGUCGGAAUCGCUAGUAAUCGUGGAUCAGAAGUAACGGGAAGAACUACGUU